rnacentral:rRNA from 1 species
AACGAACGCUGGCGGCAGGCCUAACACAUGCAAGUCGAGCGCCCCGCAAGGGGAGCGGCGGACGGGUGAGUAACGCGUGGGAACGUGCCCUUUGCUACGGAAUAGCCCCGGGAAACUGGGAGUAAUACCGUAUAAGCCAUACGGGGGAAAGAUUUAUCGGCAAAGGAUCGGCCCGCGUUGGAUUAGGUAGUUGGUGGGGUAAUGGCCUACCAAGCCGACGAUCCAUAGCUGGUUUGAGAGGAUGAUCAGCCACACUGGGACUGAGACACGGCCCAGACUCCUACGGGAGGCAGCAGUGGGGAAUCUUAGACAAUGGGCGCAAGCCUGAUCUAGCCAUGCCGCGUGAGCGAUGAAGGCCUUAGGGUUGUAAAGCUCUUUCGUGGGGGAAGAUAAUGACUGUACCCCAAGAAGAAGCCCCGGCUAACUCCGUGCCAGCCGCCGCCGUAAAAC